AAAAAAAACCCUAAACCAUUCCUCCACUCUACUCUCUUUUUUUUUUCUUCGACGAUCAAUCGAUCAUGGAGUCUCCUUCUCUCCUCCCGCUUCCUGGCAGUUUACUUCAGUUACCAUGGGGACAUGCCCAUGUUGGUAUUUCCUGUGGAUUAGAUUGCGAAAUAGGGUCCUCUAGUUUACAAACCCAAUACAAGAAAAGAAGAAUAUCUCCAAACAAUGAUAAAUCAUAUGAACUUUUAAAAAAGGUUGAAUCUUCAUUACCCAUAUUGCACUCAACAGAUUAUUAUAUGGAACCUGCCCUGACUGAUUUGGCUGCCCAAGAGCUCGUGGAUCCUGGUUAUUGCAGCCGAGUUCCAGAUUUCACUGUUGGGAGAUUAGGUUAUGGACGUGUCAAGUUUCUUGGCAUGACUGAUAUUAGGGGGUUGGAUUUGGAUCAGAUUGUGAAGUUUCAUAGGCAUGAAAUAGUAGUUUAUAAAGAUGAAACUGCUAAGCCUCCAGUUGGACAAGGCCUUAACAAGCCUUCUGAAGUGACUUUGACUCUACAGAUAAGAAUAUCAGAUUUCCAUGAAGGGCGGGUCAAAAAUUUUGUGGAGAAAUUGAGGGGGAGUACAGAGAGACAGGGGGCUUAUUUCAUUUCAUUUGACCCAGCAAUUAGUGAAUGGAAGUUCUCAGUUCGCCAUUUCAGCAGAUUUGGAUUGAGUGAUGAUGAUGAGGAAGAUAUUAUAAUGGAUGAUGUUGUAGCAGUUGAAGAACGAGUUGAGAUGAAUGCUGGUGAGACUUCAGAGACAAAUGAAGAAACCCAAUUGGAAUUAGAACCCACUGGAACAAUGCUUUAUCAUUCUCUUCCAGCG
rnacentral:misc_RNA from 1 species